GGCAUUGGGUACAUGAAACAGGUUGCCUGAAGGUAUAUGAUGCAUGGGUUUUGUAAGAAAGGAGACAGCUGUUGCUCCUUUGAUAAUCUAACAAGCCAUAUGGUAUAUUGUUUUAAGUAUAAUCAAAGAGAUUUAUAUAUUUACUAAGACUGCUGAAGAUAUAUAUACAAGAAGUCAUUAAAAUAGGAAGAAGUUACUGCUUUGCCAACUUUAGAAGCAGGUUAAGAGCACUGGGUGAAUGCCAUUUAAUCUGCUCCUGAGACGCCUCAGUGUGGCUGUACUGCCCCCGUCAAGCACUACUGCCCCCUAACUUGCAUUGAAGUACCCCUGCAAGGCUCAGUGACCAAGCCACAGUCAGAGAAGGAGCCAAUCUCUGUGGAGACAAGGAAGUGGUUUCACUCCUUAUGCUGCAGUGGGAGACUAUUGCUUUGGGGAAAAACGUAUGUCCCUCCACAGAGACUCCUAUGACAGGUUUGAACUGAAGCCCCUACCCUUGUUGAAUGCUGCCCAGAAAGCAUAGCAUAUAAAAUCUUGAAAAUGGCAUGAAGCUCUCUUUUGCUGUGAAGCACAGUGAAGAUCUGGUGUGUGGGAUCUCCAUGGAGGUGUUCUGUGAGACAGCUAAUCCUAGCAAGCAUGGCUUUCGGAUCCUCUCCAACUGCAGCCACACCUACGGCGUUAAGAAUAAUGACAAGUGGAAGAGUACU
rnacentral:lncRNA from 1 species